CACCAACACUUCUUCACCUCAGCAGAGGCAGAGCCUUUCUGCAGCUGCAGAGUCCAGUUUGCAGUUUUGCCAGCACUUGGAGACCCGGCUUCAUUUUCUCCCCUGAGAGACAUCCGGACCAGCUGGGCAGCAGCUUUUCCUCAGAUCCUAGUGGGACCAUGGAUCUGUUUGGAGAUAUAGACGACGUUUCUUCUGAGAGUGAUGAGGGCAAUCAACCACCUAUUCCAGGACAGCUGAUU
rnacentral:lncRNA from 10 species